rnacentral:rRNA from 1 species
UAAUACGUAGGGGGCAAGCGUUGUCCGGAAUCAUUGGGCGUAAAGAGCGUGUAGGCGGUCCGUUAAGUCGGCUGUGAAAGUCCAGGGCUCAACCCUGGGAUGCCGGCCGAUACUGGCGGACUAGAGUCCGGAAGAGGUGAGUGGAAUUCCCGGUGUAGCGGUGAAAUGCGCAGAUAUCGGGAGGAACACCAAUGGCGAAGGCAGCUCACUGGGACGGUACUGACGCUGAGACGCGAAAGCGUGGGGAGCAAACAGGAUUAGAUACCCUGGUAGUCCACGCCGUAAACGAUGGACACUAGGUGUGGGGGGUGUCGACUCCCUCCGUGCCGAAGCUAACGCAUUAAGUGUCCCGCCUGGGGAGUACGGCCGCAAGGCUA